AACGAACGCUGGCGGCAUGCCUAACACAUGCAAGUCGAACGAGACCUUCGGGUCUAGUGGCGCACGGGUGCGUAACGCGUGGGAAUCUGCCCCUCGGUUCGGAAUAACAGUGAGAAAUUACUGCUAAUACCGGAUGAUGACUUCGGUCCAAAGAUUUAUCGCCGAGGGAUGAGCCCGCGUAGGAUUAGGUAGUUGGUGGGGUAAUGGCCUACCAAGCCGACGAUCCUUAGCUGGUCUGAGAGGAUGAUCAGCCACACUGGGACUGAGACACGGCCCAGACUCCUACGGGAGGCAGCAGUGGGGAAUAUUGGACAAUGGGCGAAAGCCUGAUCCAGCAAUGCCGCGUGAGUGAUGAAGGCCUUAGGGUUGUAAAGCUCUUUUACCAGGGAUGAUAAUGACAGUACCUGGAGAAUAAGCUCCGGCUAACUCCGUGCCAGCCGCCGCGGUAAGAC
rnacentral:rRNA from 1 species